rnacentral:rRNA from 1 species
AAGUCGAACGGACACCUUCGGGUGUCAGUGGCGAACGGGUGAGUAACGCGUAGGAAUCUACCCCUGGGAGGGGGAUAACAGCUGGAAACGGCUGCUAAUACCCCAUACAGGCGCAAGCUGAAAGGAGCAAUCCGCCCAGGGAUGAGCCUGCGUCGGAUUAGCUAGUUGGUGGGGUAAUGGCCUACCAAGGCGACGAUCGGUAGCCGGCCUGAGAGGGUGGUCGGCCACACUGGGACUGGGACACGGCCCAGACUCCUACGGGAGGCAGCAGUUAAGAAUCUUGCGCAAUGGGCGGAAGCCUGACGCAGCGACGCCGCGUGCCUGAGGAAGGCCUUCGGGUUGUAAAGGGCACUAGACAGGGACGAA